GUUGUAUAGUCAAGUAAUUAAGUGCAUGUGGUGGAUGCCUUGGCAGUCAGAGGCGAUGAAAGACGUGAUAGCCUGCGAAAAGCUCCGGGGAGGCGGCAAAUAUCCUUUGAUCCGGAGAUGUCUGAAUGGGGGAACCCACCUACUUUAAGGUAGGUAUUGCAACAUGAAUACAUAGUGUUGCAAGGCGAACGAGGGGAAGUGAAACAUCUCAGUACCCUUAGGAAAAGAAAUCAAUUGAGAUUCCCUCAGUAGCGGCGAGCGAACGGGGAUCAGCCCAUUAAGUUAUGUGUGUUUUAGUGGAACGCUCUGGGAAGUGCGAACGUAGAGGGUGAUAUUCCCGUACACGAAAGGGCACACAUAAUGAUGACGAGUAGGGCGAGGCACGUGAAACCUUGUCUGAAUAUGGGGGGACCAUCCUCCAAGGCUAAAUACUCCUGACUGACCGAUAGUGAACCAGUACCGUGAGGGAAAGGCGAAAAGAACCCCUGUGAGGGGAGUGAAAUAGAUCCUGAAACCGCAUGCAUACAAGCAGUGGGAGCACCUUCGUGGUGUGACUGCGUACCUUUUGUAUAAUGGGUCAGCGACUUAUAUUCAGUAGCGAGGUUAACCGUAUAGGGGAGCCGUAGAGAAAUCGAGUCUUAAUAGGGCGUUUAGUUGCUGGGUAUAGACCCGAAACCAGGCGAUCUAUCCAUGAGCAGGUUGAAGGUUGGGUAACACUAACUGGAGGACCGAACCCACUGUCGUUGAAAAGCCAGGGGAUGACUUGUGGAUAGGGGUGAAAGGCUAAUCAAGCCUGGUGAUAGCUGGUUCUCCCCGAAAGCUAUUUAGGUAGCGCCUCGGACGAAUACCAUAGGGGGUAGAGCACUGUUUCGGCUAGGGGGUCAUCCCGACUUACCAAACCGAUGCAAACUCCGAAUACCUAUGAGUACUAUCCGGGAGACAGACUGCGGGUGCUAACGUCCGUAGUCAAGAGGAAAACAAUCCAGACCGCCAGCUAAGGCCCCAAAAUCAUAGUUAAGUGGGAAACGAUGUGGGAAGGCAUAGACAGCUAGGAGGUUGGCUUAGAAGCAGCCACCCUUUAAAGAAAGCGUAAUAGCUCACUAGUCGAGUCGGCCUGCGCGGAAGAUGUAACGGGGCUAAAACUAUGUGCCGAAGCUGCGGAUGUAUACUUUGUAUACGUGGUAGGGGAGCGUUCUGUAAGCCGAUGAAGGUGUGUUGAGAAGCAUGCUGGAGGUAUCAGAAGUGCGAAUGCUGACGUGAGUAACGACAAAACGGGUGAAAAACCCGUUCGCCGAAAGACCAAGGGUUCCAGUCCAACGUUAAUCGGGGCUGGGUGAGUCGACCCCUAAGGCGAGGCCGAAAGGCGUAGUCGAUGGGAAAAUGGUUAAUAAUUCCAUUACUUCUGUGUAAUGCGAUGAGAGGACGGAGAAGGCUAAAUCAGCCUGGCGUUGGUUGUCCAGGUGAAAGGAUGUAGGCAUGUAUCUUAGGCAAAUCCGGGGUACUCUAUGCUGAGAUCUGAUAGCAAGCUGUACUUGUACAGCGAAGUGGUUGAUGCCAUGCUUCCAGGAAAAGUCUCUAAGCUUCAGUUACACAGGAAUCGUACCCGAAACCGACACAGGUGGUCAGGUCGAGUAGACCAAGGCGCUUGAGAGAACUCUGCUGAAGGAACUAGGCAAAAUGGUACCGUAACUUCGGGAGAAGGUACGCUGUUGUUGGUGAUGGAACUCGCUUCCUGAGCUGACGACAGCCGCAGAAACCAGGCCGCUGCAACUGUUUAUUAAAAACAUAGCACUCUGCAAACACGAAAGUGGACGUAUAGGGUGUGAUGCCUGCCCGGUGCUGGAAGGUUAAUUGAUGGGGUUAGCGUAAGCGAAGCUCUUGAUCGAAGCCCCAGUAAACGGCGGCCGUAACUAUAACGGUCCUAAGGUAGCGAAAUUCCUUGUCGGGUAAGU
rnacentral:rRNA from 1 species